rnacentral:rRNA from 1 species
AUUGAACGCUGGCGGCAGGCCUAACACAUGCAAGUCGAGCGGAGCGGCGGACGGGGGAGGAAUGCCUAGGAAUCUGACUGGUAGUGGGGGAUAACGUCCGGAAACGGGCGCUAAUACCGCAUCCUCUCAGAUGAGCCUAGGGCGGAUUAGCUAGUUGGUGGGGUAAAGGCCGACCAAGGCGACGAUCCGUAACUGGUCUGAGAGGAUGAUCAGUCACAAUGGAACUGAGACACGGUCCAGACUCCUACGGGAGGCAGCAGUGGGGAAUAUUGGACAAUGGACGAAAGUCUGACGGAGCAACGCCGCGUGAGUGAUGACGGCCUUCGGGUUGUAAAGUUCUUUCGGUAGCGAGGCGUUAACUACAGAAGAAGCACCGGCUAACUCCGUGCCAGCAGCCGCGGUAAUUC